GUGUUGCUCUGGCAACGAGCGGCCGCGGGUCGUCGAGGCCUUCGCCCCCUGAGUUGAGGAAGAAGCUGAAAACACUGGGCACAUCUCUGUUUUUGUUGGAGGUCACUUGCUGAUUUAUCUCCAAUUCACAGUUCAUUAGAAGGAGGGUGCUCAGCCUCUGUGUUUAUCCGCAAGGAAGAGCGGUUCCCAUGGUCAUUAGAAAGAAGUGGAGAAGCUGUUUUCUGAACUGGUCUAUUCUUGUAGCGACGUUGAAGGCUCUGUUAAAUGCAAUUACUCAAAAAAUACUCAGCUGUUAAAGAAUUCUAGGUGUGCAUUAAUUGCUGUUGUAAGACCAUUAUAAAGGUAUUUAGGUCAGAGAUGUACUGUAAUGAUCAUCCACUGUGUAAGAUGCUGGUAUUCUCUAGUGGGUGUGCCUAAAGGUGCCAGAGUUUUUAAUAGAAUCUUUGAAGUUUCUCAAAAUUAUUUUUUUUCCAAUCUAAUGUGUUAAUCUCAAUGUGUGAAUUGUGUGAAUCCUUCUAUUGAAUAAUGACUUCUCCUGUGUGUAAAAACCUAGCCCGAGUGGACUGACUGGGAAGGGGUGGAUGGGUUUGUUAAUUUAUAUUUGAUCUGUAGUACCUGCUUAUAGUUAUGUCCUUAAUUAUUCUUUAUUUUCUGUGGUAAAUAGUAAUAUAUUUUAGGUUCAAAAACCAAAUUAAUGUUCUACCAUAACUAAUGAAAUUGAAGUGUUUAAAAGUUAUAUUUGUUUAUUAAUUUGGGUUAGUGUUUAAUAGUCUUCUACUCAUAAAAUAAAAAGUCUUUCUUUGUAAUUAUUAAGAUUGUCUUCCAUAAAAUGUUUUGUUCGACUGAUUGAUUAUAACCUGAAUAAAUGGUGAGAGAAAGAAUCUUCUCAUUAGUUACCACUGUAUGUGUAAGAAAAAUGUUGGUUUGAGUGGCUGAAAAUUGACUACCUUUCUGUUUACCUUCUUAGAGGUCUUGGAUGUUGUUGUCUGGUCAGGUUCUAGGGAGCAAGUUAGUGCUUUCUGUCUGAAAACAGUUUGCUAAGCCUUUGUCUUGUACAAGGUCAAAAUAUUCUGGCCCUCUGAAUGCAUAUCCAUUUCAAGUGCUAAGGAAAACCAAUUGUAUUUAAAAAGCAUUACCAUUGUAGAUGGAUUUCCAGAUAUUUCCUUUCAGAACCUUCAGAAUAAAUACAAACACAGAAAUAGAGCAGGCAAAACCUUGUUUGUUGUGUUGUAUGGGAUUUGUCCCAUUAACGUCAGCAUGUAAAUAUUUGCUUCACUUCAGUCAAUGUUUACCUCACUUGUCAAUAAGACUUGGUUUGCACUUCAUAAAGUUAAUACUUACUUUCUGCUUUUAGUUUGGUGAAAAUAUAUCAAAUUCUCUGUUUCUAACAUUAUGGAGGGCCUUUUUGCUGCUUUUCUAACAAAAAAGAUUUUGUAUUAACAGAUGUGUGUUAGUUUAUUAG
rnacentral:lncRNA from 1 species